ensembl:lncRNA
CACAGUGUCCGUGGGUCAGGAGCACACACAGAGCUCAGCUGGGUCCUUGGGUUGGGGGUCUCCCAAUGCUUCAAUCAAGGUGUUGGCCAGGCUGCACUGUCGUCUGAAGAAAGACCGGCUUCCGAGCUCCCUCAGGGUGUUGGAAGAGUUCGUUCCCGCUUGCCUGUAGAACUCAUGGUGACUUGCUUCUGGAAGGUCCCCCAUGGUUGUCUGUGUCCAUCCACCAGGGCCACAGUUCCUGCCGGUGGUCCUCUCCGUUCAGCCAAUUCUCUGGUUUCCUGUGACAACUCCUUGGGCCUAAUGGAGGUGGAUGGAGGGGAAGAACCCAGGAUUGACCCUGCCUCUCCAGUAUGAACUGUACCUUUCAGGGACCAAAGAGUUGAUGAGGGGAAGUUUGCCUUUAGAUAGGUAAAUGAAGGGUUUAUAAUAAAAGCUGCCGUCCACUGGCUGGAAGGAGGCAAAGGGAGAGCUGAAGAUGGAGCCCACUAGUUUCAUCCUGGAGAGCACCCAGCAGGUUCCCAGAAGUGUGUCACAGCAGAUGCCCGCCCUAAGCUCCAAGACAAGCGAAGGAGCCUAUCUGGUGCAUAGUCCAGCAUCCCUCCGUCAGCGACUUCCCUGCUGGACCCUGGGCCUGGUGAGUCUGUGCUCACGUGAGCCCUGUAAGAGCUUGUCUCAGAUCGUUUUAGUCCGGGGUUCUCCUGGGAGCAGGCCCCACUUAUUUUCAAAGCUAGAUGUUUGAGGGGCUAUCUCUCAGGUCCAAGUCUUAAAAGAUGGGGCACCUGAUGUGGGAUUCCAACCCUUCACUCCUGAGGGAGAAGCUGUGGUUUUGAGUUCCCUCCUGACUUGGGUCACAGGUUGGGGUGGGUUUCUGGCAAGAUUGCGUCCCAGCCUCUCCUACCCGCUUCCUAGGGGCCUUCUCUCCUUGAAUGGCUCGGACUGUUUUUAGGUUUAUAUCAGAGGAAUUUGUCUAUAUGUAGCUGCAGACUCCCUGUAUUUGUGGGGGGAGGUGAGUUCAGGAUCCUCUUAUGUCACCAUAUUGAACUGAAACCUGACUUUUGUACUUAGGCAUAAAUUGAAGAAAAAUGAUAAAGCUGAAAGAGAAGGAUCAAUUUUCCUUACUUGUAUUAUCAGUCAAUAUAUGGAUACUUUCUUAUAUUAUGGUGCCUAUAGCUUUAAAAUCUCUGGAAUAAGAACCAAAGGAUAGAAUUAAGUAGUGGACUAAGGCUCUUUGUCACUCUAGUUUUUAAGCUAAAAACUAGCUUAAACAUAAAUGCUUCAAUGUUGCCUCUAAAACGAGUAUCCUGUGGGCUAAAACGUAUCCUAAUAAUUAAAGCCUCAUGUGAGCAGAAUUUAGAUAGCAAGACGAACAUCAGAAUUACCCGGAGUAAACGUCUAGCCUGUGUUCAUGGUGACUGGAUUUGGCUAGUGAGCGCUGUGAAGAGCUGGUGCACACUCUGUGGGAGGGGCCUUCAGGAGCUUUUGCAAAACAAUAAAUUUGCUGUGUGUGGUUAGAUCAACAUGUUGACAUUUCCAAACAAACAUUGUUUAAAUUUCCAAACGUUGUUUCCAAACACUGUUUAAAUUUCAUGCAUGUGUGCUAUGUGAUUUAGGUCCAGAGUCAAUAUUUAAAUUCAUGAGCCAUGCCUAAGUGAUAAUUCCUCCAAAUAUGCCCAUUGGUGACAAAGUAGAUUUGUUCUCACAAUAUGAUGCAGAGAAAUGGUGGAAGUUAUAAUGGAAAGGCAUCAGAUUAAAUAGUCUUUAGGAGCUUCCAAAUCUUUUCCGAGAUUGUCAGCGGCUAUCUACGUAUACUCUUUAGAACAAAGGAGUUAAAGACAGAAAGCUAUGAACAACCACUGUUUUAGUAUGAAAAGGGGUAUGUUUGGGAGUUACACGCUGUUAACUAAACACUAAAAUCAGCCCAAGAUUUAUCUAUCACAAAUCGGCGUCAUGAUUUUGUUUUUCCUUUGGAAGUAGGAUAGCGAUAUCUCUAAAAAUGCUUCAGCCUUCAAGGAAAAAAUAACCCUUUUUAUCAUUUUUUGCCUAUUUCCAUUCUGUAAGAUAGUGUGGGUGUUACUCUGGGUCUAAAAGAUGGACUUGAUUGGAAGUCACUUCUGCCCCACGGUGGAUUGUGUCAACGUAAUCUGUGAAUUGGGUUUAUGGACCUAAGCAAUCAGUUCAGAAUGACAGGAAGGUGAUUGAUUAUAUAACAUCUGGAUAUGGUGAGUGUACCAUUUCUACCGACUGACUCUGAGAGAGUGUAGUCAAGAGGCUCAUGUGGAAAUAUGAUCUGCUUUUAAACAAUUAUUUGACACAGAAUAAGGGAAAAUGAUUUUUUUGUAUGACUAUGCAGUUGCAUUUGACUUGUUUGAAACAGAAGGUUAAAUGCGGAUCCGCCAAAUUGUUAAGUGAAUGAAUAUACUACGUAGAAUAAGGGGAUGAAUUGUAUAAUUUGGAGUUACUGUCAAAGAAGCAAUUAUGGUAGGUUAUAAAGCUUGCUAAAAAAUAAAACAUUAUAAAAAGAAAGCACAAAUUAUAAUAAAAUAGCAACUGAGAGUCUAGAAAUGAAUGUGAUAGCGUGUAUGGGAGAAACAUUGAUAAGAAAGAGAGUCAAAAAUAAAAAAGAAUUCGGUUAAGAGAACUUUAAAACUCUCUGGUCGAUUCUGAUGGGGAAGAGAAAAUCUCUAAAAAUGUGGGAAAGACAAAAAUAUUCCUUUCAAUUAAACUUACACGUUUAUACCUUUAGCAUCUAAUGGUUUAUUAUUUUGGAAACUCC